GCAUCGGUGGUCCAAUGGUUAAGAUUCGACAUUCCCAUGUACCUACCCCACUGCGGAAACAUCGUCAUGUCACGACAUGUCGAGACCCGGGUUCGAUUCCCGGCCGAUGCA
rnacentral:tRNA from 1 species